GGAUGGAUGUCUAAGCAGUUGAAAGAGUCGGUCUUGAAAACCGAAGAAUCUAGUGGUUAUUGCAUCAAGCUCCAUCCA
rfam:Triticum urartu cultivar G1812 contig329186, whole genome shotgun sequence.